AGUAAAGAUUAAAUGUGCUUCUCAAAGGCAGCCACUUCAUGCUGCUAUGUCGAAAGGGCCAUUAUUAUUAUUAUAUUUUAAUGGUAAAAGAGAAAAGGAGAGAGGUUGAGCGAGCGAGAGAGAAGCUAGGUGUGAUGAUGACAGACUAGCUUUUCUGAGAGGAAAAGGAAAAGGGAAGGGAGAGAAAAAGGAGAGCCUCUGAGCUCAACGGAGGAUUGUGCCUGAGAAGAACCCACAGAGAUACAGUUAAGCUAAUGAUCUCGAGAGGAUAUCGUCCUGGAUAAGGGUGGAGCCUACGCCCAAAAACAAGAUUACCUGAAAGAGAAAAGAAAGGGGGAAAACACACAGAGAUACAGUCGGGGAGGCCACAUGAAGAUGGAGGCAGAGACAGGAGUGAUGAGCCUGCAAGCCAAGGAAUGCCAAGGGCUGCCAGCAGCCAUGAGAAGCUGAGAGACACAGAGAACGAGUCCUCUGCCAGAGCCUCCAGAAGGAACUAACCCUGUCAAUACCUUGAUUUCGGACUUCUGGACUCCAGAACUAUAACCCUCCUUCCUCCACCUCACAAAAACUCACAAGCUGCAACCCUUCUGAUGUCCACUCCCACACAAACCAGCUUCAGGCCUUUUUCAAGAGUGCAGGAAAUUCUACCCCCCAAGUAUGGCACCUUGGCAUGCUGAGUAUUUUAAGCUGAAGGAAACAGAGAAAACCACAGAAGCAGAAAGGUCUUUCUGACCUCUCUUGAAGACCCUCAUGUGACAGGUGUCCUGCCCUACAUCCAGAGAGAAGGAAUGUUCCACAGACAGACUAAGAAGAAUCUGAAGAAUCAGGCCUUACUAAGUGCCCUCCAGUGGAUGCUGUGGGGCACCACCUCCUUGAGGACCAAGGCACUCCAGCUGCCAGGAAUUUGGCUGCUAACCUCACACAGCUGAGCCUUCCAUGAAAAUUGCUCUCUGCCAAAGAGAACUUCCUAGUCCAAGGUCAUGUCUACUCUCCAGAGAUGUGACUGGAGUGAUUUGCACCCGGAUGCCUAGACUCGCCAUCUGCUCAAAGACUGCUCAGAAAGCCCUCCCAUGCAUUCCCCUGCUGCAUACCAGCCCACUCUGCCUGCAGCUGCUGUCUGCAGGACUUCAUAUCUAUGCCACACUGUGUAAAAGCUGUGCUUCAAGAAAUCACAAAAACAUUUUCCUGCACCUACUACACAGCCUGAGUGCGGCAUAAGUUGACCUUGCUUGCUAAGAAAUGGGGCAAGAAAUGCUUUUUUGUGUGUGUCAUGUCUGUUUGUUUUUCAAUUAAGAGAGGAAAGCAUUAGGCAGAUGGAAUGUACAUGUGAGGAUGAGGAGACAGAAAACAAGUAGCCCUUUCCAUCAAGAUAGAGGGUUUUCUGGGGUUGCUGGCUAUUGAAUGUCACUCCUGAUUUCUCUUUCCAAGGCACUGUACCACCAGCCUACUGAGAUUGUGUGGGAGCUUUCAUGGGGGUUGUAUUUCACUGAUGAAAAUAAAUUUUUUGCAUAAUG
rnacentral:lncRNA from 1 species